AUUCAUGUUUUUUUUUUCAUCAAACCCAUACGUGUGGGAUAUCUAUGGAUAUGUCUUCAAAAAUGAUAUUGAGGUUUCUAAUAUCAUUUUUUUUCUAAACUGAAUAGUUUGCGCGAGAGACACUUCCAA